GGCAGUUGUAAUGGUACUUCCAUUUGGAACAAGGUUCGAUUCCUUGAGCUGCC
rnacentral:sRNA from 1 species